AGAGUUUGAUCCUGGCUCAGGACGAACGCUGGCGGCACGCCUAACACAUGCAAGUCGAACGAAGGGAAGGCAGCUUGCUGCCUGAACUUAGUGGCGGACGGGUGAGUAACACGUGAGCAACCUGCCUUCAAGAGAGGGAUAGCUUCUGGAAACGGAUGGUAAUACCUCAUAAAAUAUGGAUACCGCAUGGUAGACAUAUCAAAGGAAUAUCGCUUGGAGAUGGGCUCGCGUCUGAUUAGAUAGUUGGUGAGGUAACGGCUCACCAAGUCGACGAUCAGUAGCCGGACUGGGAGGUUGAACGGCCACAUUGGGACUGAGACACGGCCCAGACUCCUACGGGAGGCAGCAGUGAGGGAUAUUGCACAAUGGAGGGAACUCUGAUGCAGCGAUGCCGCGUGGAGGAAGAAGGUUUUCGGAUUGUAAACUCCUGUUUCGAGGAACGAAAAGAAUGACGAUACCUCGGGAGGAAGCUCCGGCUAACUACGUGCCAGCAGCCGCGGUAAUACGUAGGGAGCGAGCGUUGUCCGGAAUUACUGGGUGUAAGGGAGCGCAGGCGGGACAGCAAGUCAGAUGUGAAAACUAUGGGCUCAACCCAUAACGUGCAUUUGAAACUGCCGUUCUUGAGUGGAGUAGAGGUAAGCGGAAUUCCUAGUGUAGCGGUGAAAUGCGUAGAUAUUAGGAGGAACAUCGGUGGCGAAGGCGGCUUACUGGGCUUUUACUAACGCUGAGGCUCGAAAGCGUGGGGAGCAAACAGGAUUAGAUACCCUGGUAGUCCACGCUGUAAACGAUGAUGACUAGGU
rnacentral:rRNA from 1 species